rnacentral:rRNA from 1 species
GAUUUCUGGCACGGUGUGCCUGGCCCGCGGCGUUAGCUUGCGAGUGCCGGGUCGCGCCUGUCAUCCUUCUAGAUAGCAAUGCUACCCCUCACGGGGCCGGCACUUACGAUCUAGAUCUUUUACUUUGAAAAAAUUAGAGUGUUUCAAGCAGGCUUUAUGCUAUGAAUACAUUAGCAUGGAAUAAUAAUUUAGGACUUCGGUUCUAUUUUGUUGGUUUCUAGGACUGAAGUAAUGAUUGAUAGGGAUAGUUGGGGGUGCUAGUAUUCAGCGGCCAGAGGUGAAAUUCUCGGAUUCGCUGAAGACUAACUUAUGCGAAAGCAUU